rnacentral:misc_RNA from 1 species
GAUGAAGAACGUAGCGAAAUGCGAUACUUGGUGUGAAUUGCAGAAUCCCGUGAACCAUCGAGUCUUUGAACGCAAGUUGCGCCUCAAGCCAUUAGGUUGAGGGCACGUCUGCCUGGGCGUCACAUAUCGUUGCCUGAUGCCAGUUUCCUCGUGAUGGGUGACUGUGCAGGGCGAAUGAUGGCUUCCCGUGAGCAUUGUUGCCUCAUGGUUGGUUGAAAAUUGAGUCCUUGGUAGGGAGCGCCGUGAUAGAUGGUGGUUGAGUGACGAACGAGACCCAAUCAUGUGAGACCCCUACCGAAUUUGGCCUUCAUAACCCACAUGCGUCUUUGGAACGCUCAUGACGAGACCUCAGGUCAGGUGGGGCUACCCGCUGAGUUUAAGCAUAUCAAUAAGCGGAGGA